rnacentral:misc_RNA from 1 species
UACGGAGGUUGCAAGGGCUACUCGGAAUUUCUGGGCGUAAAGCGCACGCUGCCGGUCUGUCAAGUCGGAUGUGAAAUCCCCGGGCUCAACCUGGGAACUGCAUCCGAAACUGGCAGGCUAGAGUCUUGUAGAGGGGGGUAGAAUUCCAGGUGUAGCGGUGAAAUGCGUAGAGAUCUGGAGGAAUACCGGUGGCGAAGGCGGCCCCCUGGACAAAGACUGACGCUCAGGUGCGAAAGCGUGGGGAGUAAACAGG